GCGAGAGCAGCCGAUUGGCAGAGCGGUGCUUUCAGGAACAAUAACAGUGGGGGGAGCCCGGGUCCCGGGGAGCCGCCCCCGCCCCCCGGCCCGGCCGCGCGGCCCGCGCCCCCCGCCGGGUCCCCACCUCCGCGCCCGCCCCGCGGGCUGACCGGCCCGACCGGGGCCCGCCCCCGGCGCCCACCAUGUACGCCUUUGUGCGGUUCCUGGAGGACAACGUCUGCUACGCGCUGCCAGUGUCGUGCGUGCGCGACUUCAGCCCCCGCUCGCGGCUGGAUUUUGACAACCAGAAGGUGUACGCCGUGUACCGGGGCCCGGAGGAGCUGGGCGCCGGGCCCGAGAGCCCCCCGCGCGCCCCCCGCGACUGGGGUGCGCUUCUGCUCCACAAGGCCCAGAUCCUGGCGCUGGCAGAAGACAAAUCUGACCUUGAAAACAGUGUGAUGCAGAAGAAAAUAAAAAUCCCCAAACUUUCUCUCAAUCACGUAGAAGAAGAUGGCGAGGUUAAAGAUUAUGGGGAAGAAGAUUUACAGCUUAGACACAUCAAGAGACCCGAGGGGCGGAAGCCGAGCGAAGUGGCGCAUAAGAGCAUUGAGGCAGUGGUGGCCCGGCUGGAGAAGCAGAACGGCCUGAGCCUGGGCCACAGCACGUGUCCAGAGGAGGUCUUCGUGGAGGCCUCGCCGGGCACAGAGGACAUGGACAGUCUGGAGGACGCUGUCGUGCCCCGGGCUCUGUAUGAGGAGCUGCUGCGCAACUACCAGCAGCAGCAGGAGGAGAUGCGCCACCUCCAGCAGGAGCUGGAGCGGACUCGGAGGCAGCUGGUCCAGCAGGCCAAGAAGCUCAAGGAAUACGGGGCUCUCGUGUCUGAAAUGAAGGAGCUCCGUGACCUCAACCGGAGGCUCCAGGACGUGCUGCUCCUGAGGCUUGGCAGUGGUCCCGCCAUUGACUUGGAAAAAGUAAAGUCAGAAUGUCUCGAGCCCGAGCCGGAGUUACGGAGCACUUUCAGUGAGGAAGCAAAUACGUCGUCCUAUUACCCCGCUCCUGCACCUGUCAUGGACAAGUAUAUCCUAGACAAUGGCAAGGUCCAUCUGGGAAGCGGGAUUUGGGUUGAUGAGGAGAAAUGGCACCAGCUACAAGUAACCCAAGGAGAUUCCAAGUACACAAAGAACUUGGCAGUCAUGAUUUGGGGAACAGAUGUUCUGAAGAACAGAAGCGUCACAGGAGUUGCCACAAAAAAAAAGAAAGAUGCAGUCCCUAAGCCACCCCUCUCGCCUCACAAACUAAGCAUUGUCAGAGGCCAUCAUUUCCCCCCUACAAUACUCCAGCAGCUUCCAGACUUCUCUCUCCAUUACGUAACCAGAGUGAUCCUUAAGAAACCAAACAUGAUCCUGUCACCACCACCCCGUCACAGCCAGCCCAUGGUGCCCAUUAUUAAAAGGGAAUUUGUAAGGGCCAUUCCUGGGGCCCGGACCACAUGUCAUAACUACCCACCCUGCACCUGGGCUGCUUUGUCUGGCUAGCUGCUCUAACCACCCGGAUCUGCUUAGGAGAACCUUCCUCUAGGAAGCCUUCCCUGACUUCUUAGGGUGAGUGGACACUUCUGUCAUAUGUCCCAGAGCCCCUUGUGGUCACCUCUGGUCUCUUUUUGCUGUAUCUUUGCCCCCCAGGGGCCUCCUAUAGCAACUCUGAGAGCCCAGAAAUGCUUGCCAUGCAGGCGAAUGAGAAGGAAAGUGACUUGCCCAAGGCCGUACAACUGGUUAGGUCGGAGCCCGGCAGAGUGAGUCUGACUUCCUCAUCCCAGAGGUUUCUUGUCAUACCUAAGUACAGUGUUGGUUUUUUCUCUACUACAAGCAGGCAGGUUGGAAGUCCGUCUCCUACCCCACCAUACACUCACCAUUUUUACCCCAAUUAUAUGAGCUCCUCCAGACUGCCCUGGACUGGUCCUUCCAAGCAGGAGAUCUGUGGCUUGAGAUUGUGUGUGUUUAUUUCCACUUUUACCACACUUAGUCACAUUUGCUGUACAAAAAUGACAGCCCUUGCUCAUUAGGGAUUUUCUCAUGUCUUUGAGGAUUUUAAAGUCCUUCCCGACCGGAUGGCAGCAGGAUGGUGAGCACUGAUACCGCUUGCAAAUGCAGAAAGCAGAGCAGGAGGGCCGUAGGAGAGUCUCUCUUUAAUGACAAGCUCCAGAAUGACAGUUAAACCUUAUUAAGGUCAAAUGACCUUUUGCAGAAUGUCUGAGUUUCCUAAAUGAGCCAUAGCAUUGAGUUCUGGGUAAUUUUUAUAACUUUUUUAAUAGGACACAUUAGCGCUGUUAUAAACCUUGUUAAUUAAGCAAUAAUCUCAAAUGCUCCCUCGCAGAGGGAGACAUUCCCGGCAAGUGCAGGUGAUUAAUACCUAGAGUCUAACAAAGCCUUUAAUCAACCUCAGGGGCUGCUCAGCGCUCUUGCCCCCGAGACACAGGAACGCUUGGGAUGCUGGGGAGCCCUCUUGGAAAACACUCCUGCAUUUGCCCCUUUCUCUUCCUGCCUCUUCUGUGACCCCUGCCAGUGCUCCAAGGGCCAUCACACCCACUCUCCUUCUCUCCCCUUCUCUCUCCUCAGCCUCUUUACCACCCUACUACCUUCCAGACAGCUAAAGACUUAGCACUGGAAGAAUCUCCUUGGAUCAUGUGGUUUGCCAUCCUACUUUUACAGAUGGUAAAACUGAGACCCAGACUGAUUCCCACUUAGAGGUUGCACAGCAACUAGGGCAAGAGCCAGAUUCGAACUCCUGAACUUCGAAACAGUUCUCAGCACAAGUUGUCUCCCUCACUUGGUUCAGGUUCCAGCAAAGUCACCCAAACGUCAGACUCACUAAGAGCGGCCGACCUCAGCCUCGUUAGUAAUCACCACGUUGAGAUACCACUUCACACCCACCGGGCUGUCAAAACCUUAAUAACCGGGCAAUGUCAAGUGCUUUUGAAGAUAUGAGGCAACCAGUACUGGCAUACACUACUGUCAGGAGUUCCAGGCAGCACAACCGCUUUGGAAAACAAUUUACUAGACAUCACCUAGUAAAGUUGAGUAUGCACACACCCUAGCGAUGAGCAGUGCCACAGCUUGGCCCUCACUGGAGAAUUUCCUGCAUGUGUACCCCAUGAGACACGCACCAGGGUGUUUGUAAUUGCAAAACACUGGAAACAAUCCGAGUAUCCGUUGACAGUAAAAUCAGCAAAUUGUGGAACAGUCCACUCCAGAGAACACUGCUCAUCAGUGAAAAUGAUUGACCUGUAGCCACACACUUCAACUUGGGUAAAUCACGAAAUUUAUGUAAUGUUGAGUGAGAAAAAGAAAGAUAUAUAAGAUACGGAUAUACCUGUAAAAAAGUUAAAAACAGGGAAGCGUAGGAGCGCCUGGGUGGCUCAGUUGGUAUAGUGUCUGACUUCGGCUCAGG